rnacentral:rRNA from 1 species
AUUGAACGCUGGCGGCAGGCCUAACACAUGCAAGUCGAACGGUAACAGGAAGCAGCUUGCUGCUUUGCUGACGAGUGGCGGACGGGUGAGGAAUGUCUGGGAAACUGCCUGAUGGAGGGGGAUAACUACUGGAAACGGUAGCUAAUACCGCAUAACGUCGCAAGACCAAAGAGGGGGACCUUAGGGCCUCUUGCCAUCGGAUGUGCCCAGAUGGGAUUAGCUAGUAGGUGGGGUAACGGCUCACCUAGGCGACGAUCCCUAGCUGGUCUGAUAGGAUGACACGCGACACUGGACCGGAGACGCGGUCGAUCCUCCUACGGGAGGCAGCAGUGCGGACUAGUGCACGAGGGUCGCAAGCCUGAUGCCGCCAUGCCGCGUGUAUGACGAAGGCGUUCGGGUUGGAAAGUACUUUCAGCGGGGAGGAAGGGAGUAAAGUUAAUACCUUCGCUCAUUGACGUUACCCGCAGAAGAAGCCCCGGCUAACUCCGUG